rnacentral:rRNA from 1 species
UACGUAGGGUGCGAGCGUUGUCCGGAAUUAUUGGGCGUAAAGGGCUCGUAGGCGGUUUGUCGCGUCGGGAGUGAAAACACCGGGCUUAACUCGGUGCUUGCUUUCGAUGCGGGCAGACUAGAGGCAUGCAGGGGAGAACGGAAUUCCUGGUGUAGCGGUGAAAUGCGCAGAUAUCAGGAGGAACACCGGUGGCGAAGGCGGUUCUCUGGGCAUGUCCUGACGCUGAGGAGCGAAAGUGUGGGGAGCGAACAGG